AUUGAACGCUGGCGGCAGGCCUAACACAUGCAAGUCGAGCGCGCGGCGGACGGGUGAGUAAUGUAUGGGGAUCUGCCUGAUGGCGGGGGAUAACUACUGGAAACGGUAGCUAAUACCGCAUACCAUCAGAUGAACCCAUAUGGGAUUAGCUAGUAGGUAGGGUAACGGCUUACCUAGGCGACGAUCCCUAGCUGGUCUGAGAGGAUGAUCAGCCACACUGGGACUGAGACACGGCCCAGGAGCCUACGGGAGGCAGCAGUGGGGAAUAUUGCACAAUGGGCGCAAGCCUGAUGCAGCCAUGCCGCGUGGAUGAAGAAGGCCUUCGGGUUGUAAAGUACUUUCAGUCUGGAGGCGUUACCGACAGAAGAAGCACCGGCUAACUCCGUGCCAGCAGCCGCGGUAAUAC
rnacentral:rRNA from 1 species